GUACAGAAAAUAACGAAUGCACCAGUAAUACAGGUAAUAAAUCUCACGAAUACAACAGCAGGGAGAGAAAAUAAAAACGAAUUGAGGGUGAUUCUUCACACACCACAACCACUGUAAGUGCACCCCAUUAUCAGCAGGGACACCACAACCCCUACAGGGUGUACCCCAACAUCAGCAGGGUACAAUAACAGCUGCAUGUGUACCCCAACAUCAGCAGAGGCACCACAAAAACUGCAUGGUGUACCCCAACAUCAGCAGGGUACACAAAAACUGCAUGUGUACCCCAUCAGCAGAGUACACUGUAGCGGAGCGCUAGUUUAACAUAGACUUUUCUUCGCUGGUAUUCCAAUAGUUACUCAGGAUAUAGUAGGUUAUCAUAGGAAGAACAGCAUAAGCAGUACAUAAAAUAAUCC